GAUGAACGCUGGCGGCGUGCUUAACACAUGCAAGUCGAACGAAGCACUUUAUUUGAUUUCCUUCGGGACUGAUUAUUUUGUGACUGAGUGGCGGACGGGUGAGUAACGCGUGGGUAACCUGCCUUGUACAGGGGGAUAACAGUUGGAAACGGCUGCUAAUACCGCAUAAGCGCACAGCAUCGCAUGAUGCAGUGUGAAAAACUCCGGUGGUAUAAGAUGGACCCGCGUUGGAUUAGCUAGUUGGUGAGGUAACGGCCCACCAAGGCGACGAUCCAUAGCCGACCUGAGAGAGUGACCGGCCACAUUGGGACUGAGACACGGCCCAAACUCCUACGGGAGGCAGGAGUGGGGAAUAUUGCACAAUGGGCGAAGGCCUGAUGCAGCGACGCCGCGUGAGCGAAGAAGUAUUUCGGUAUAUAAAGCUCUAUAAGCAGGGAAGAUAAUGACGGUACCUGACGAAGAAGCACCGGCUAAAUACGUG
rnacentral:rRNA from 1 species